GAUGAACGCUGGCGGCGUGCCUAAUACAUGCAAGUCGAGCGAACAGAUGAGGAGCUUGCUCCUCUUACGUUAGCGGCGGACGGGUGAGUAACACGUGGAUAACCUACCUAUAAGACUGGGAUAACUUCGGGAAACCGGAUCUAAUACCGGAUAAUAUAUUGAACCGCAUGGUUCAAUAGUGAAAGACGGUUUUGCUGUCACUUAUAGAUGGAUCCGCGCCGCAUUAGCUAGUUGGUAAGGUAACGGCUUACCAAGGCAACGAUGCGUAGCCGACCUGAGAGGGUGAUCAGCCACACUGGAACUGAGACACGGUCCAGACUCCUACGGGAGGCAGCAGUAGGGAAUCUUCCGCAAUGGGCGAAAGCUUGACGGAGCAACGCCGCGUGAGUGAUGAAGGUCUUCGGAUCGUAAAACUCUGUUAUUAGGGAAGAACAAAUGUGUAAGUAACUAUGCACGUCUUGACGGUACCUAAUCAGAAAGCCGCGGCUAACUACGUG
rnacentral:rRNA from 1 species